rnacentral:snRNA from 1 species
AGCCAUGUGGUGAGCUCAAAGCGAACUAUUCUUUCGCCUUUUACUAAAGAAUACCGUGUGCUCUCCACGCUAAGUGGCAUACGCCUAUUUUUGGAGGGUUUCCGCUCAAGAGUGGAC